rnacentral:misc_RNA from 1 species
UCUCCGUUGGUGAACCAGCGGAGGGAUCAUUGCAAAAAGAAGUCGAAAGACUUUUUCUAAACCAUUGUGAACCUUACCUGUCCGUCAAAAAGUUGCUUCGGCGGCCGGCCCCUGGGAGGGGCCGCCGUGGCCCGCCUGCUGGGCGGCCGCCGGGCGGCGAACCAACCGAAACUCUUGCGUAUCAGUUAGUUACCUCUGAGUCUAUUACAUUAAAACGUAGUUAAAACUUUCAACAAUGGAUCUCUUGGCUCUGGCAUCGAUGAAGAACGCAGC